rnacentral:sRNA from 1 species
GCGGAGGAAAAGAAACCAACAGGGAUUGCCCUAGUAACGGCGAGUGAAGCGGCAACAGCUCAAAUUUGAAAUCUGGCGUCUUUGGCGUCCGAGUUGUAAUUUGCAGAGGGCGCUUUGGCGUUGGCAGCGGUCCAAGUUCCUUGGAACAGGACGUCACAGAGGGUGAGAAUCCCGUACGUGGUCGCUGGCCUUCGCCGUGUAAAGCCCCUUCGACGAGUCGAGUUGUUUGGGAAUGCAGCUCUAAAUGGGAGGUAAAUUUCUUCUAAAGCUAAAUACUGGCCAGAGACCGAUAGCGCACAAGUAGAGUGAUCGAAAGAUGAAAAGCACUUUGGAAAGAGAGUCAAACAGCACGUGAAAUUGUUAAAAGGGAAGCGCUUGCAGCCAGACUUGCCUGUAGUUGCUCAUCCGGACUUUUGUCCGGUGCACUCUUCUAUAGGCAGGCCAGCAUCAGUUUGGGCGGUUGGAUAAAGGUCUCUGUCAUGUACCUCUCUUCGGGGAGAACUUAUAGGGGAGACGACAUGCAACCAGCCUGGACUGAGGUCCGCGCAUUUGCUAGGAUGCUGGCGUAAUGGCUGUAAGCGGCCCGUCUUGAAACACGGACCAAGGAGUCUAACAUCUAUGCGAGUGUUUGGGUGUCAAGCCCGAACGCGUAAUGAAAGUGAACGGAGGUGGGAACCUUUCGGGGUGCACCAUCGACCGAUCCUGAUGUCUUCGGAUGGAUUUGAGUAAGAGCAUAGCUGUUGGGACCCGAAAGAUGGUGAACUAUGCUUGAAUAGGGUGAAGCCAGAGGAAACUCUGGUGGAGGCUCGCAGCGGUUCUGACGUGCAAAUCGAUCGUCAAAUUUG